rnacentral:rRNA from 1 species
GAUGAACGCUGGCGGCGUGCCUAAUACAUGCAAGUCGAGCGAACAGACGAGGAGCUUGCUCCUCUGACGUUAGCGGCGGACGGGUGAGUAACACGUGGAUAACCUACCUAUAAGACUGGGAUAACUUCGGGAAACCGGAGCUAAUACCGGAUAAUAUAUUGAACCGCAUGGUUCAAUAGUGAAAGACGGUUUUGCUGUCACUUAUAGAUGGAUCCGCGCCGCAUUAGCUAGUUGGUAAGGUAACGGCUUACCAAGGCAACGAUGCGUAGCCGACCUGAGAGAGUGAUCGGCCACACUGGAACUGAGACACGGUCCAGACUCCUACGGGAGGCAGCAGUAGGGAAUCUUCCGCAAUGGGCGAAAGCAUGACGGAGCAACGCCGCGUGAGUGAUGAAGGUCUUCGGAUCGUAAAACUCUGUUAUUAGGGAAGAACAAAUGUGUAAGUAACUAUGCACGUCUUGACGGUACCUAAUCAGAAAGCCACGGCUAACUACGUG